GGCACAGUGGUCUAAUGGUAAGACCUCCACUGCGUAGGUACCUGCUGAUUUCAAGCAGAGGGUGGGGAUCUGGGUUCAAUUCCCAGCUGAGCCA
rnacentral:tRNA from 1 species